AAAUCCAUAGUGAAGCCCUUCAUCACCUUAAGUUUUCUGGUAAGUAAACCAAACUCUGCGUUUAGGAUUAGGUCGAUUGUGGUUUGAAGUAGUAUUCAUCUUCGACGGUUGACCAACACUGUCUCCGCCGUUGUUUGGAAAGUCAAUUUUCCUCUCACCUUUCUACCUCCCGUUUCUCUUCAUUUCCUUCUCUUUUGGCCACUCCCUUGAACUUUACUCUCUUACCAUAUGUAAUGAAUUUUCAGUUCACAUUAAAAUCCGUAACUCCUACGAACUCUCUGUUUCCCUUACUUUACUAUCAACGCUUGAUGCGUAUCAAAACCAAAGAAGACAUCAAACCGUAGAAAUACGAGAGGCUUGAGACUGGAAUCAAGCGUCACACACAAGCUCUCUAAGUUUAUCCUCCCCCGAAAACCUAGAACCCUCAUUCCAAAUGUCUUACUCUGGUGCUGCUGCUGUCGAUGAGCCGCCCUCCCCUCCACCUUUGACGAGAGCUAGGUCGUACAACCGCCUCCUCCUUUUCUGGAUUCGUGGAACAUCAAUAAAAGCGGUGAAUGUAUGGGAAUCACCCUCCUCUUCCUUGAUUAUCAACAUCUCCUCUUCCUUGAUGAAAAUCUGGUGGUGUGAAUCACUACCGUCCAUCCAUCGCUACGAGAGGGGUCGAUCGUGAAAGUUGAUCUCUUUUAAAUCGGAUGAUGCACUAAUAUGUACAAGAUCACGGAUCAUCCUUUCGUCAUCUGUAUCAUUCCCCCAACAACUAUUGAUGAAUUUGCCAUGAUUUUAACUGUUAUCAAUCUCCAAAAAUUCAUCCUUUGUAGUCUAUAACGAGGAGUAUAUAUUAAUUCAAACUCCAUCAUA